rnacentral:rRNA from 1 species
AAUAUUGCGCAAUGGGGGCAACCCUGACGCAGCGACGCCGCGUGAACGAUGAAGGCCUUCGGGUCGUAAAGUUCUGUCCUCUGGGAAGAAUAAAUUGACGGUACCUGUGGAUGCAGCCCCGGCUAACUACGUCCCAGUAGCCGCGGUAAUACGUAGGGGGCAAGCGUUGUCCGGAAUUAUUGGGCGUAAAGGGUGCGUAGGCGGCCUUUUAAGUCAGAUGUGAAAGACCACAGCUUAACUGUGGGAUUGCAUUUGAAACUGAAGGGCUUGAGUGUCGGAGAGGGUAGUGGAAUUCCCGGAGUAGCGGUGAAAUGCGUAGAUAUCGGGAGGAACACCAGUGGCGAAGGCGACCACCUGGGCUAAUACUGACACUGAGGUGCGAAAGCGUGGGGAGCAAAC